rnacentral:pre_miRNA from 1 species
UCCAUACUCCCUCCGUUUGGAAUAUUUGUCCUAAAAAUGAUUGUAUCUAGACUUAUUUUAGUUAUAGAUACAUACAUUUUACCCAUUUUCAGGACAAGUAUUUCCGGAUGGAGGGAGUAGAAG